rnacentral:lncRNA from 1 species
CCCAACACAACCACCUUGUCACCGGCCAUAUUUUCAGAUGAUAUUCGAGCAAAGCAAAAAAAAAAAAAAGAAAGGAUUUUUUCGCUAGAGGUUAUGGGCAAUAGUACCAGUUUGUUAGCAACUAGCAGGUAUAAGAACCGGGGUCUUGCAUUUUAUAGUGAAUGAGAGGCUGGUGAUGGCAGCAUGAAGGAAUAAUGGUUGGUAAGUGGUAGAUUGUACCAGGACACUUGGGUCCUCUGCCAUUCAGCAAUUUAGGCCACAAGUCAAAAUGCAGGUUUUUUUUUUUCAAGCAGUAGGGAUAGGAUUCAAAGGUAAGGGAAGGAAGGUUAGAACCAGAAUUUUUAAAUCUUGAGAAAAUGAAGGGUCUCUUUUUCAUGUGUUAUUAAUUAGAUCUUUUUUGACUCUUUAAUUUUUUCUUUUUUAUUCUUGAAAGCCACUUUAGGAAUUUACAACCUAUAUUAGCACGUUUUUGGUUUGAUAUAUGCUCAAAUUUUUAGCAUGUAACUUAAUUUACUUUAUAAUAGUUUGAAUACAAAAUUAACUUUCCUUUCUCAGGUACUCACUAGAAAUUGAUAGAAAGUUCACGAGAUGCAUAAUAUGUGCAUAAUUGCUGUUUACUCACAAUUUUGUGGCCUCCCACCAAUUGCUACUUUUAAAUCCAGUAAGUACUUAUCGCAUUCGUGUGAUUUAAUGGUUAUUCAGCUUUCCUCGAUUUCUAGAAUUCGAUUGCUCCUGUACCCCUUUUCCCCCAUAGUCGAUGUAUGACCAAAGAAAAAAAAAGUUGCGACAUUGUCUCUACGACCAAAUAUUAAAACCUUUUUGGCUUGUUAUUUUUAAAUUUCUCUAAAUUUGAAUAAAUAUUUCGAGAUAAAUACAAUGCCAUUUGACUGCCGUCCCCAAUCAAAUCAAAGGUGGUAGAGGAUUGUAGAACUCAACAAAUAAAUAUUAUUUAUUUGUGCUAGAAUAUUCGUUGUCUAGAACUUGUUCUAGGAUGCUUGUCUUGCUUUCCUGUUCCUAAUCACACAAAAUUACGCGACAAUUUUUGUAGUCACAAUUCCGCCAUUAUCUUCUCCAUUUCUUGUUCCAUUAAACUGCUAAAUAUUAAAACACUAACUAAGAAAUUAAGGAACAAAAACUUGCGUCCACGGAAAAGGUUAUGGUCUCUUUUUCUUGAUUGUCUACUUGGUGGCUGCUGCGGCUGGUCCCUAAUUAUUAGGUUCCCAAGUUUUUAGCUAAGUGCUUACGCAGAGUCUUAAGGAAUUUGACGUCACUCCUUAAGUAAUCACAUUCAAGCUUUUGUCUUUCCCUCUCUCUCGCUCCUUUUUCUGUUCCUGGUUUGCACAUUAUUUAAGUUCAAUAAGAAAAAAAUAUGAACAUAGACAAUUCAACUAAACCACGAAAACAAGAAAAGAGUACCCCACCACAUCUUAUGUCUAAAUUGGUCCGGACAAUGGGUACUAGAAUUAAUUUUUUUUAUAUACUGCCAGUAUAUAAUUGUUUAUACAUCAACAAAUUUACAUCAUAUCACAUUAUAUAAAUUUAAAUUUAAAUUUACACUGUUAGCAUGUAAAAAAUUAAUUCUAUAUAUGCUCAAAAGCCAUUAUUUACCUCUAGCUCUAUCCCUUCUAUAGGGACAAAAGUAACUCGAUUGUAAAGGUCAAAAUUAUGAUAAUGUAUCAAAAGGUUGAGUUAUGUAUAUAUUUUAAAAAUCAUAAGGGGAUUAUAUGGUAAAACACUAAAUUAUAAGAGAGAUGUAUGGUAAAACAUAAAUCGUACAGGAUUAAAAUAUCAUGCAUAUUAUGUAUAUAUAUUUUAGUUAUUUCAACCACUUUAGUUUCUAAAUAAGGGUAUGAUAGGUCACAAUUUUGUUAUCUAUUUUAUAAUUAAUUUCCUCCUAUUACCUUAUCGAAUGUGCAUUAAUUAGCAGAUUUUAUUCAUUUUUGGCAUUUGUGCUUAUUGCAGAGAGUUGGAACAAAAUAUCAUAAAAAAGUGCAAAUUUGUCAAGUUGUACACCUUCGGGUUAGUCAAAUUAAUUUUGACGAUAGCCAGCAUAAGAGUUGGAGUAGUAAAAGGAAACAAGAGUCCAAACGGAGAUGGUAUUCCUUAUCCAGUGAUCAACUGCGCUAGACGAGGAGCAAUUUUGGGGGACUCUCCUUUUUCUUCUUUUGGUAGUUUUCAAAAGAGGAGGGAGGUUAACAGAGACAAGGAGUCUUCCCUUUUAUUCCCCUUAGUAGCCGGAUAGGAAGGAAAAUUAUGUAGGAAGAGGCGGUCCGACAGCUUUGAUUUUUCUUUCUUUUGUUUUCGUACUUUGUCGGCUAGUUCUUCUGGGGGGGUUGACUAUUCAUUGUUUUUGGGGGACUAUUCCAUCAUUUUUUCAUUAUAUUCAAUUGGAGGAAAAAUGCCUUCACCAUUUACUUCGGCAAUUUUCCAUAGGAUCCCCUCGACAGAGAUGAACUAAACUUUUAUUUCUAGUCAAGGAACAACGGAGGAUUUGGUUCAGGUUAAAUUGUGAGAUCUAACUGAUUUUACUUUUUCCUAUUAUUUUCUAGUAUUCGUAUAUUUCAUAUUUUAUUUUUUUAUGGUUAUUGUAUUAUUCAAGUAUCAUGGGUCCAGAUGUUAGAUUAAUUCAAUAACCUAAAGCCAAUUAGAGUAAUUAAAUCUAUAAUUGUUUAAUUAUUCUAAAUUAGUGGUAACUGAUAUAAUCGGGAUUAUAUCAGGGAAAUAUACGGGCUAAUUUGUAAACAACCAUCGUAGCGUGUUGUUUAUGUAGAACAGGAUUUUUCUAAAUCUUAAAGCAAUUGCAAAAUUGAAUUUUACAGUCGUACCUAGGGUUAUUUUGCAAUUAGGACAAUAACUAACGGUCUUACAUUAACUAUCGAUAAUUAAGGAGAAAUUGAUUGUCAUCACUUGUUUGACAAUUAUAACUUGUUUAUCAGUUUAUAUAUGGAACUAUUCUUGCAUCGAUGAUCAAUUAGGAGAACCAUUUCCGAAAUUGCUUCUUGACUAGAGUUUGUCAAAAACUAUUUGAGUUUUUGCAAUUUGCCAUCUAAUUUUUAUUUAAUUGCAAUAUUCGAUUAGCAUAACUUAUUGUUAAUUUCUAUAAAAAAAAAAAAAAACCCCCCCAUUGUUUGUUUGAACUUCAAAAGAGGCAAAUAUCCCCAAUCCCUAUGAAUUCAACCCUACUUAUCACUAUCUAUAGAAAUUAUAUUUUGUUUGAGCAGGCAUUUAUUAUUGCACAGGCUCGACAAUCUGUCAAUUUUUGGCGCCGUUGCCGGGACUGGUGUUAGGUAAAUUUGUUUCUUUUUAAGUUCAUUUUCGUUUUAAUUUUCUGGUACUUUUCUAGUUUAUACUUUGUUCUUCUCGUACAGGUGAAUUAAUUUUCGAUCCUAAAAUAGAGAAAACUGCACGCCGAACAUGAAAAGAGACCAGACAGCUCAGAGAAGAGCAAUCUAGUGCUGCAUCUCAAAGACUUGAUCCAGAAGUUGAAGCAACAAAUUCGUUUGGUGAUACUUCGAGUGACUCGGAUCAAGAAGAAGUCACUAUGGCUAAUGCACGAACACUAAGGGUAUUGGCUGCUCCUAAUUUAAAUCAGCAGCCCUUAUGCAUUACUUUUCCGAAUUUAAAUGAUAAUACUCAGUUUGAGUUAAAAUCUGGUCUAAUCCAUCUUUUGUCAUCUUUUCAUGAUUUAUCAGGUAAGAAGCCUCAUAAGCACUUGCAAGAGUUUGAUGUUGUUUGCAACAUUAUGAAACCUUCAAAAAUCACGGAAGAACAAAUAAAAAUGAGAACAUUCCCUUUCUCUCUUAAGGAUUCAGCAAAAGACUAGUUGUACUACUAUCUCCAGGUAGUAUCACCACUUGGGAGUAGCUGAAGAAAAAAUUCCUGGAAUAGUAUUUUCCUGUAUCUCGAACUGCAAGUCUGAGGAAGGAAAUAUGCAGUAUCAAGCAACAUUCAGGAGAGUCGCUCAAUGAUUACUGAGAGAGAUUCAAGAAGUUAUGUAUCAAAUUCCCUCAACAUCAAAUAAGUGUGCAGCUGCUCAUUCAGUACUUUUACGAUGGGCUACUUUUCAAAGACAAGAAUAUUAUUGAUGCUGCAAGUGGAGGGGCGUUGGCGAACAAGACUCCUCAAGAAGCGUAGUUGUUAAUUGAAGGAAUGGCCGAGAACUCAUAAUAGUUCGGUAUAAGGAAGGAUAUCUUGAUACGCAAAGUGAAUGAGAUAAAAACAUCCUCUAUCCAACAGCAGUUAUCCGACUUAACAUCUUUUGUUAUACAAUUGGCUAUAGAAAAUGCACCACAAGCCAAGAUGUAUGGAAUUUGCACUGCCAUGGGUCGUUCUACAGAGAUGUGAUUCAAGAAAAGAGUGCGAAGAAAGUAAACAUAGCUGGUCAUACGCCUGCGCCAAGAAUGGCAUAUGAUUCGUACCCUAACAUGUACAAUCCGGGUUAGAGAGAUCACCAUAACCUCAAUGAUGGGGGAAAUAGACAAUCAAAUUUUGCACUGAAUAUACAGCAAGGGUAUCAACAGUAAUACCAACCUCGACAGCCACCACUUCCUCCUAGUUCAGGCCCGUCUUUGAAAGAAAUGAUGAAACAAUUAAUUACUAGUCAACAAAAGAUGAAAUCUGACCUAUAAAAUAUAAGGAAUCAAAUGGGUUAUAUGUAAGCGAUGCAGAGUCAGAGUAGUCAGAUGGCAAUAUCAAUCAACCGUCUGAAGUCCCAAGUUCACGAAAAAUUGCCGUCUCAACCUGAAUUGAACCUGAAGAACGUAAGUGCAAUGACCUUAAGGAGUGGAAAGAAAAUUCAGGGAUUCGAACUCGUGACUCCAAAGGACAAGGAUGAAGAAAAGAUCGAGAAAGAACUUGAGGCAGAGGACAUAAAUGGCAUAAAUCCAGUGGUACUCCUUAACCCAAUCAUUGAACCUAAAGCUAAUCCGCUUCCCUUUCCUAGUAGGUUGGAGAAACCAAAGAAUCAGGACAAGGAGAAAGAGAUCUUGGACGUAUUCCGCAAAGUAGAGAUCAACAUUCCUCUGUUAGAUGCAACCAAACAAGUGUCGAAGUAUACAAAAUUUUUGAAGGAUUUGUGCAUCAACCGAAGAAGAUUGAGAGGAGACGAAAGAGUUAUUGUGGGGGAGAACGUGUCAGCAGUUCUACAGAGGAAACUUCCACCGAAGUGCGGAGAUCCAAGUAUGUUCAUUAUCCCCUGUAAAAUAGGUAAUACUUUGAUUAUAAAUGUCAUGUUGGACCUAGGAACAUCAGUAAUGUCUAAAUCUAUCUAUACUUCUUUGAACUUAGGUCCGUUAAAAGAAACUAGGAUAAUAAUCCAAUUAGCUGAUCGAACGAAUGCUUAUCCUGAUAGGUUGGUCGAUGAUGUGUUGGUUAAAAUUCCUAACUGAUUUUUAUGUACUUAACAUAAAUAAUGAUCAUUCCCCCGACCCCUUACCUUUGCUAUUAGGUAGACUCUUUUUGUUUACAAUCCAAAAUAAAUUGAUGUUAAUAAGGGUACCUUAUCCAUGAAAUUUGAUGAAAAAAUUAUUCAUUUCAAUACCAUUGAGAUCAUGAAAUACCCCUCGAACUCUAAUUUUAACUCUGUUUUUUCUAUGAGUGCUAUUGACUCAGCGGCGCAGGAAGUGUUUGAAAUUAUUGGCAGGGAUGAGUUAGAAGUUGUUUUAACCAAGUACCUCGAGUUAAACACAACUCAUGAGGAAGAAUUGAGUAAAGAUCUGAAAAAUACAAUUGGAGCGUUGCAAUCGUUGCCAGUCAAGACGACAAGGUAUGAGCUCGCACUUAUUUUCGUGCCCAAAUCUCACCAAAGGGUAUUACCGUCUGUGGUACAGGCACCUGUGUUUGAAUUAAAAUCUCUGCCAAAGCACUUGAAAUACGCUUACUUGGGCAAGAAGGAAAUGCUUCCAUUGAUUAUCUCGACGCGACUGUUGGAAAUCCAAGAAGAAAAACUAAUCCAAAUUCUUAGAAAUCACAAGCAAACAAUAGGAUGGACUAUCACCGACAUUAAGGGCAUCAGCCUCUCUGUAUGUAUGCACCGAAUAAGGUUCGAAGAAGAUGCCAAAUCUAUGCGGCAAGUUCAAAGGAUGCUCAAUCCCCUUAUGAUGGAAGUCAUGAAGAACGAAAUACUAAAACUGCUGGAUGUGGGGAUCAUAUAUGCAAUAUCAGACAGCCCAUGGAUGAGCUCGGUACAGGUAGUUUCAAAGAAAGCAGGAGUGACAGUGGAGGCCAACCAGAAGGGUGAACUCAUGCCAAUACACAAAUCCACUGGAUAGCGGCAGUGUAUAGACUACCGGAAAUUAAACGUUAUCAUGAAAAAAGACCAUUUUUCACCUCUUUUUAUUGACCAAAUGAUUGAACGAUUAGUUUGUUGAAUUUACUAUUGUUUUUUAAAUGGGUUUUUAGGGUAUUUUCAAAUUGCAAUCGCACUGGAAGAUCAAGAGAAAACCACCUUCACGUGCCCGUUUGAAACUUUCGUAUACAGGCAAACGCCUUUCGGAUUGUGCAAUGUCCCUGCAACAUUUCAGAGAUGUAUGGUGAGCAUUUUUUCAGAAUAUGUUAAGAAAAUUAUUGAGAUUUUCAUGAACGAUUUUAGUAUAUAUGGUGAUAGUUUUGAUAAUUGUCUAGAUAACCUGAAAUUGAUCUUCUUGAGAUGUAUAUAAACUAAUCUCGUGUUUAAUUGAAAAAAUGUCUUUUUAUAGUUGAGUAUGGGAUAGUUCAAGGUCACGUAGUGUCCUCUAAGGGUAUUGAAAUUGAUUAAGUUAAAAUAGACAUUAUAUCUGCCUUACCUUACCCCGCGAGUGUGCGGGAAGUGUAUUUUUUUCUUGAACAUGUAGGUUUCUACCAAAGGUUCAUAAGGAUUUCUCGAAGACUGGAGCUUCUCUGUUCAAACUCUUAUAAAAAGAUGUGGCCUUUGAGUUCAAUGUCGAGUGUAAGAGAGCAUUCAAGAAGUUAAAGGAGCUGUUAACAUCGUCACUGAUCAUCCAACCUCUUGACUGGAAUCUCUUAUUUGAGAUCAUGUAUGAUGCUAGUGAUUAUGCAGUGCGAGUAGUGUUAGGACAGAGAAUAGGAAAAGCAACUCACGUCAUCUACUACACGUCUGGAACCUUGAGUAGAGGUCAAUUGAAUUACUCCACUACUGAGAAGGAAGUUUUAACAGUUAUUUUUGCUUUAGAAAAAUUCAGGUCAUAUUUAUUAGGUGAUAAAAUUAUUGUAUUUUCUGAUCAUACAGCAUUGAGAUACCUAAUAACCAAGAAAGAUGCAAAAUCGAGGCUGAUAAGGUGGAUAUUGCUCUUGCAAGAAUUUGAUAUGGAGAUGAGGGAUAAAAGUGGUUCGAAGAAUUUGGUAGCUGACCAUUUAAGUCGCAUAUCAGUUGGAGAAGAGAACGUGCCAUUGAAAGAUACAUUCCCUGAUGAACAAUUAUUUUCUCUAAAUUCUAAAUUGCCUUGGUAUGCUGAUUUAGUUAAUUACCUAAUAACUGGCAAAUUACAUGCAGGUUGGCCCAAAGCAAAAAGGGACAAGUUAAAGAGCGAUGCCAAAUACUACAUAUGAGACGACCCGUAUCUGUAGAAGCAUUGUGCUGAUCAUGUAAUGCGAAGGUGCGUAAGUGAGAAUGAAUAUCACUCAAUCUUAACUUUUUUUCAUUCUUUUGCCUAUGGAGGUCACUUUGGACCUAAGAAGACAGCUCGUAAGGUGUCAGAGAGCGGGUUCUACUGGCCUUCACUAUUCAAAGAUGCCUACAUGCUCUAUAAGUCAUGUGAAAGAUGUCAAAACGUAGGUAAUAUUUUUCGUAGAGAUCUGACGUCUCAAAUUUCAAUGUUCUUUGUUGAAAUUUUUGACGUAUGAGGGAUUGACUUUAUGGGCCCUUUUCCCAUGUCGUUUGGUUUCUUUAUAUCAUCUUGGCACUUGAUUAUGUUUCCAAAUAAGUGGAAGUUAAAGCCACCCGGACUAAUGAUUUAAAAGUGGUUUCAGAUUUUAUUAAGUCCAAUAUUUUUGUGCGUUUUGGGAUGCCAAGAACCAUUAUUAGUGACAGGGGGAUGCAUUUCUGCACUAAUACCAUAACUACGCUAUUUCGAAGGUAUGGUGUGCUCCACAAGGUCUCAACAUCAUACCACCUUCAAACCAAUGGCCAAACCGAAGUAUCAAAUCGAGAAAUCAAGUCUAUCUUGGAAAAAAUGGUGUGACCCGAUAGGAAGGAUUGGAGUCAAUAGUUGAAAGAUGCACUUUAGACCUAUUGGACGGCGUAUAAGACUCCUAGAGGGAUAUCACCCUAUAGAUUAAUAUUCGGGAAGCCGUGUCACCUCCCAAUGGAAUUUGAGCACAAGGCCUUUUGGACGAUAAAGCAGUGUAAUAUGAAUUUAGAGGAGGCUGGUGCUCAUCGAAAGUUGGACUUGCAAGAAUUGGAGGAGAUCCGGAGCAAAACAUAUAAGAAUGCAUUAAUUUACAAGGAGAGGAGUAGGGCGUUUCAUAACCAACAAAUCUCUAGGAAGACCUUUGAAGUUGGUCAAAAGGUUCUCCUAUACCAAUCCAAGUUUAAGCUGUUUCCAGGUAAACUGCGUUCCAGAGGGAUUGACCUUUCAUUGUUACUCAUGUCUUUCACUAUAGUGCAGUAGAAAUCCAGAGCACUAAGAUGGCCAAAAAGUUUGUGAUGAAUGGACACCGUCUCAAACACUAUUACGAGAGCUUUCCAAGUGAAGAAGUGAAGGUGAUACAUUUGGACACACCAAAUUGCUCCAAUUGCUAACAUCUAGCCAUGUCUAACCAAAGACGUUAAAGAAAAGCGCUUUUUGGGAGGCAGCCCAAUUUCUUUUAGUUGUUGUUCAACUUUAGUUGAUAACUUCAAUAUGUUUUCUUAAAGUUUUUCCAAAUUUUUUAUUUAAUUUUUUGUUUCUGAUGAUUAGUAGGUGUUCCCCUGACAUAACGCACCAGCGUCAACAGGGUGCCUGGUAAUGUGCAACUCCCCAGGUGCUUCAUCAGAAAGGUUUCAACCCUCAUAACGUGCCUGCGUCAAGUCACCUAAAGAGCUCUUCCUUCGAUCUUGGAGCGGACUGACCGACAUGACGCGUCCAUGUCAACAAGGCACGAGGUAACUUUUAAUUCAACGACUCUUUAUUAGAAGGGUUCUUGCCUUCAUGAUGUGCCCGCGUCACCUGGGCGCGUGGUAAUGUGCAAUCCUCAAAGUUUUCAUCAGAAUGGUUUCCACCCUUAUGACGCGUCGGUGUCAUUUGAUUCUUCAUUUAAAUUGCUGCGUUGUUCGGGAAUUUUCUGAUAUUGUGGUUCGAUAAAUUCUGCAUUUGACUAUUGAAUUGGGAGACACCGGUGGCCCUUGAUUUGGUUGUUGAAACCGGUUGAAUUAAAUUGCAUUGUUGGGAGUGUCGCGCCCUAUUUUUUGGGAAAAAAAUGAAAUUACGAUUACGGGUUUAUAAAAAUGAAUUUUUUGAUUGAUUUUGAUUGAAAACAAGUAUUUGAUUUUUAGAAAAUAAAUAAAGAAAAUGGGCCUAAAUGGGACUAAAAGUGCGAUGAUUUUGACCCAAAAAUAAUAGUUUAAAAAGGUUUUUAAUAAAAAAUAGAAGCUGCCACUUGGUAUUGAGUUAAGGUGUACCAAGUCACCUAAAAUGAAUUUUCAAAGAAAAAGUAGAGAAAACCCUUUUUAAACGACUUCAAGUCUGCAAAAAUCAAGAGAAAAGGGGUCGGGAUUCACAUUUGAAAAAAGGGAAGGCAAUGAUAAAAUCCAAGGCACCCUUUCAACCUAACCAAAGCCAGUUGCGUGAUUUAUUCAAAAAUUUUUCUUAUUUUAACCUAAGAAUUUAUCACAUUUGGAUGUCACUAUAUGGAUGCAAAAUCUAAAUCUAGGAGGAUAUCGGGGGGGGGUCGGAAUAUCUCUUCAAAACUUGAUUGGUGUAAAUCACAUUAAUUGUAAUGCCCAAGAGUGACUCUUCGAAGAGGUCACGAACAUGCAAAAUAUGAGACUCGAAAGAAAGAAAAGAAAAGAAAAUAAUAAUAUGCAUGAUCUAAAGGAAUGCAUCAUAACGGGUGUGGGGACUAAAAUUCGUGACUCAAUUUUUCCUUUUAUAAAGGGAAUACGAGCGUGCUAAAGGUAGAAAAGUCACACUCGUCCAUAUCCCAUAUUCGAGGGAUAUUUCCUAUCUAAUCAAGCAAAAAUGUACUAACCUAAUUCUAAUUUUUAAAUGGAAUGCAAGUCUUAAAAUGCCAUGUUCCACAUAUAGAGGUAAGAAAUAUACAUAUAGGGAAAAUAUGGAUAAGGGAUGUACAUAAGGGGAAAAUAUCAUGCAAAAAUGGUAAGGACCCUAAAAGAUAGAAAAUAUGUAUGCAAAUGUAAUGAUUAUCAUACAAACAUGAUUUAGCACGUGAAUGGUCCCUAAGGGUCUAGUAUUGGACUACCCCAUGUCUAUAAGUUCUCACUAGCGUUGGACUAGUGAGAAAUUAGAAAGGAGGGCUACAACUAGUAUUGGACUAGUGUGGAAUCGGGAAAAGAGGCCACAACUAGCGUUGGACUAGUGUGGUGGCAUCAUGCAUUUAUUACAAUCAAAUAAAUCAUGUAAAACAAGCAAAUAAACAUAUAAAUUACAUAUAGCACAUAGCACAUAAGUAUGAUAUCUAGAUGCAAGACCCUAAGAAAGCGAGUAACACAUAAACACACAAGUAUGUAAAGCACACAAAGCAAAUAAAGCAAAUAAAGACCUAACUAUUACAUUCGAAGGGCCCUAACUACAAUCUAAAAGGGGAAAGAAUUAAAUAAAAUGAAAUAAUAACCUAACUAUUAGAAUUUUGGCAUUUAAUGCCUCUUAAAUAACCAAAAUUAAAAAAUGAAUAUACAAGAUUAAAACCAAUAAAGUGAAUAAAUAAAUAAAAUAAAGUAAAGAAACACAUUCAAAAGUAUGCAAUUACACACAUAAAAUCACAUAGAAACACAUUGGGUCAAAUAAAAUCAAAAUAAAGAAAUAGAGCAUACCUCCUUUGAAUUGGUUGUCUAAUGAAAUGUAAUUUUUUUAUUUAACCUUCAAAACAAUAAAAUGAUCAAGGCGUCACUUUAAUUAACAAAUAAUCACAAGAAGUGGAAAUAAAUACGAAAUUGAAUUAAUCAAAUCAUUUAAAUAAAAAUAAACAACCCGUAUUCAAUAAAUUAAAACAAAUAAGGACCCAAUUGAAAUAAUUAAAGAAGUUUGAGGGGUCAAAUUAUUAUUAUUACAAUAUAUUAGGGGUCUAAAUGAAAAUAAUAGAAUUAAGGUUUAAGAUAAAGUCUAUCAAAACUAAAUGCUAAAAUCUAUAAAAAUGAAUGAAAACCCAUUUGCUAUAGUUAAACAAUAAAAUUACCACAAAAUUCUACUAAAAUUCAAAUCAAGAUUAUAAAUCUAUCAAAAAAAUUGUUAAGCCUUCAAAUUCAUCCUAAAAUUCACUAAAAAUCUAUUCAAAAACCCAUUAAGUCAUAUCAAAGAAAAAUAACAUUUAAAAAGGACCAGAUUGGUUGAAUUUUUCAAUUUUAUGGGCCAUAGUAGAAUAAGGAGAAAGUUGAGGGGUCGGGCUGCAAUUUUGGAAAGCUUUUCAUGCAUGCUUCGCAGAAGCUAUUCUUCUUCUUCACUGUUUCGGGAGAAUUCUUAGUUUAUGAUGAAAAAAAAAGGCAUUCUACAACUGGGGCGGUUUUUCGAGAUUGUUCUUGAAAUGGGGUCUUCGCAUUCAUGGAAUGCGAGCUCGGUGCUCGCAUUCCGCAAAUGCGAGGUCUGUUAAAAAAAAAAAGACCAGAAAAGUGAGUCAAAGAAGCAGAAUGCAAUAUCGAAACAGUGCUGUCGAACAGCACAACAAAGAAAACAGAGUUGGGUUCUGCACAUCGAAGCAUCCAAAGACCGGAGCUGGCCACCAUUUGUCCUAUUUUGUGCUGCCCAAACGCCGGACGGUAGAAAUAGGAAGAGCGGCGCCACACGGCUGAGCGGCGCCACCAUCUCCGUUGUUCUGCUCCGCCGGAAGCCACGCCUCAUUCUCUUUCUGCCUCGCUGAAGCAAGCCCUCCAGAUUGCAGCCGGUUUUCAGAGCUUCUUCAACCACCAGAUUACCGACCCAUUUGCCCCUUUGCCCACCCACUGCCGCCCCAUUGCCGACCCAACAUUUGCCAACAUUGCCGUCCCAUUGCGACUGCCAAACAGCAUAAAGGUGAGCCUUUUCCAUUUGCAAUGCCUCACUUAUAGCAUUUUAAGUUUAAUUAAUACUUGAAUCCAACGGCAAGUUCAGAUUUGUUGUGAAAUUUCGGUUUAAAUUUGAUGUGGGUUGUGCUUAUUUUUGCAAUUUUUGUGGUGGAUUUGAGGAUAUACGUUACAUUUUUUGAAUUCUUGAAAUUUUUCUGUUUCCAAUUUGUUGUAGUUGCGCUAAUUGUGUCCGUGUGGACAGUGGAGCUGGAAAAAGAAGGAAGUAGUUUUUUGACAAAUAUUGCAAAAUAGUUUAAAGCUAAAACCCCUUUAAGGAAAAAGUCCAUUUAAUUGUUUCAACUAUUUUUUGAAAUUUUUUUAAAAUUAGAAUGAAAUUUAGGUUACACUUAUUUUCUGUACAUCUAACUCUAAAAAGAAAAGUGGUGCUAGUCUCAUUUUAUUGUCUACGGCGGAUAGAGAGCUAGUGGUACUACGAACGGAUUGGUGUUCAUGAUUUUUUCGAUAAGGCAUAGGAAAUGACUAAAUGUUUAAAUAACGUUUUAAAAAAAAAGUCUAUUUUUUUGUGUUGAAGAAGAUAAAACAAAAAAAAAAAGAAAAAAGGGGCAAGUUCCAUUUAAAAUAGAAAAUGGGUUCUAAUUAAGGGAAUUAAACAUGAGAUGCAAAUGAGAAACGAAUUUCUCUUAGGCAGCUAUGGGUAAAUCGUACAUUAGAGUUGUGUUCCUAGAGAAAAUUUUAGAAAAAUAAGGGCCUUGAACUAAAAUGGAAAAAUAAAUUUUGCUAAAAUUACAACAUAUAUGUUAGUGUGACCCAAAAUUUGAUGCCGAGCAUUGAAGUUGUCUUGGAUGCAUUUCCGUUGCUUUAACAGUCUUAGCAUGCCAUUUAAUUAUUUUUUGUAUACAUUUAGACACUAUUGUCGUACUUUAACAAGUGUAUAUAAAUAUAUUUGAUUAAUACUUAUUUUUCACUAAUGUAGUUAUCAAAGCCAUUUACAAUAAUUAGUACUUUAAUACGCCCUGUAUAAUUUGAAAUGAUAAUAAUUACAAUAAUUAGUACUUUAAUAUGUCUUGUGUAAUUUAAAAUGAUAAUAAUUAAUCAUCUCUGACUAUUUUAAUGUACAAAAUAAUUCUCUAAAAUGCUAAGCACAUAGUAGACAAAGUCUCUAAUACUCAAUGUGGGGGCAAGGGUUAUGUGCCAAAUUUGGGUGGCAAGUGCGCACUUUUCAGUUUUUGUUUUUAAAAUCUAUUUCGCAACUGUUAUUUUUGGUUGAAACACUAUCUACAUUGGACAUUGUAUGUUUUGCAAUUGGAGUUUAGAAAUUUUAUUGACAUUAUGUAGUUUAUAGAUUGGAGCUUUUGAAUUUCAUGGAUAUUUGGAUUGUUUGACAGGGAGUUUUAGCCCAUUUAUAGGGGAGACUCUGUCGAAUUUUUUGUAGAGCUUUCUUUGUGAGGGCAACUGACUAUUACAAAUACAUGUCGCAACUUCUGUUUUUUUAAAUGAUUUUUUGUUGUAAAUUAUUUCUUCAUAUAGGUACAUACAAGGUUGGUGACACAAGCUUGGGAGGUUUAGAGGCUGGGGUUGGUACCUCUAAGAUCCUGACCACAGAAGUUGGCUAGAUUCGAAUUUGAUGCAAGUCAUUCGGUAAUAUAUUUUAUAUUACAACUUUUGGAUUUUUUACGUCGAAUUGAAAUAGUAUGUUUUGUUAAGCUUCUGGAUGUAGAAGAGGAAGUUAGAGCACGUUAACAGAUUUAUUUUAAGUCGAAUCGAUGGAUUUAAAGUUAAAUCUAAUCUUGUAGUCUAUAUUUACAAUAUAUGCAUGUCGAGGUUAGGAAAAUAACAGAUAAUGCUGUGAAGUGGCCUUUGGAUAUAGCCAAAAAAAUCUUAUUGUGUUGUUGAUGAAAAUAGCAUACGUAUAUGAACAUAGAUCUUGUAUAGCUAUAUGGAUGUGGAGCCCAAAAAUUGAUUAAAUAUUCUUCCAAAUCGCAUGUCAAUCAACUCUCUUUUGCAAUUCUUAGGCGGCUCAUAGUUGUUAGGGUUCUAAAAUUUGCCUUGAUUAUCGCUUUAUAUUUUUAAUCAAAAUAGUAAUCCUGCCAAUAAUUGUAAAAGGUAAAACAUGCAAGAUUUAAUCGCUAGAUAUUUGAUUUAAUUUUUUUUCUUUUCCUUUUCAACUACCAAACAAAUAACAUGCUCUUCAUAAAAAUAACUUAUAUAAUUUUUCUAAAUAACAUUGCGUUAUGGAAUUUCUAAAAUUACAGUUGAAAUUGUAACAGAUAUUAAUGACUAUUAAUUAUUAGAUUCUUAUAACUAAUAUUCAUCGGUGUCAACAAAUAAAUACGAUUCAUUAAUAACAAAGGAAAAUUAGAAUUUGAUAAAAAAAAUUUAUUUGAUAAAAAAGGAAAAAAAGUUAGUAUUUUAUUCAUAAAAUAUAGUCAACACAUUACAUGUUAACAAUUUCAUUCUAUUUUUACAUUGAUCUAUGAAAUAGAAAGAACUUUGCAUGUGUACUUUUUCCACCAUUUAAAUGUAUUAUAAUAAAAUAACGUAUUUCCAACCUUACAAUUACCAAUUUUUUUUAAUAUAAAAGAAAUAUGCAUGUCUAGUAAAUUAUAUUAAAAAGAUUAUUAUGAAUAUGAUUUUUUUUUAGAGCACAUAUUUGAUGACUUUAGGCACGUGUAAGUUUUAAAAUAAAAAAAAAUUUAUUCCUCUGCUAAUUACAGAUUUUUAAAUAAAAUUUCUCUAACAUUUCUCCGAAAUAUAAGAUUUUAGUAGAGAUUUUAAAAUAAAAUUUUACUACCGACAGCAUUUUAGUAAAGGCAAAUUCUACAAAACAAACAACAUUUACAUUUUUUUUGGAGCUCAUAAAUUUCAUUUUAAAAUUUUUUUCUAGCAAGUUUGAAUUUAAUUUUCUGAAAGUCAUACUUAUAAAUGCGAAAUCUAACAAAAAAAUUAAAUACAAUUUUUGGAGGUCAAAUUUAUCAAAUGCGAGCUAUUUGAAAAAUAAAAAAAAAAAACAUUUAGGAACUCGCAUUUAGCUCUACUAUUUUCUGGAAAAAAUUCUCUAGCUCCCAAAAAAAAAAGCAAAAAAAAUUAAAUUAUACUUAGUGUGGGAGCUCUAUUGAGCUCGCAUUCGCGGAAUACGAGCUCUAUUGACCUCCGAAAUUUUUUUUUUUAAGGAAUGCGAACGCGAAUGCGAGAUCUUUAAACAUUUUGUUUCAAUACAAAAAAAUCUCUGCCUCCGAAAAAAAAAUAAGCACAAAAAUUUUACUUAUACUUUCUAGGCUCUAUGGAGCACGCAUUUCAGAAAUGCGAGCUCUGCUGAGCUCGCAUUCCGCGAAUGUGAAGACCCCCCGACGGAUUCUCUCACCAAAAUCACCCCUUUUAUAGAAUUUUUUUAAAAUUCACCACAAAAUUGGAAAUUUCUCUCGCUGUUUCUGGGUUCAUCCGAAACAAGCUUGGAAUCUUAUGCAGCAAUUUCAACAACAAAUCCAAUCUCAAGUCCUUGUCAAAUUCCCAAAACCUUUGUUGCCCGAAGCCCUUUUUGGUUUUCUUUGCUCCUCCCCCGCGCAGCCUUCCCUUCCUUGUUUCCUCUCUACUGCCCGAAAACUCUCUAGCUUUCCUUCUUGCCUUUGCCCGUAACUUUUCUUUUCCCUCAAUCUCCUAUCUCUUCUUGGUUUCUCUUUCUGGUUUCCUACCCUUUCUCCUCCAGCCCGUCACCCUCAGCUCUCUCUCUCGCUUGACUUUUUCUUUCUUUCCUCCGACCCUUUCUUUUUCUUUUCUUGUUUCUCCUUCUUGCUCUUGCCUUGUUGCCCAUGGCCUAUCCCUUUGCCAGAUUUCCCUCUUUUUUCCAGAAUUUUCCUAAGCCUCCAAGUGUCUUGCCACCUACCCCGCUUUGCAUGUGUUGUCAACCAAGAAUGAGGACAUUUGUCCUAUUUGCAUGCACUCCACUUGUCUAAUAUCCUCCUAAUACACUUGUUUAAUGAUCCUCUAAUACACUUAUCUUUUUAUUUUCAUUUAUUUAUUAUAUAUUUUCCAAAAACAAUUUAGGUAAACAAAAUAAAUGUUAAUUCCUAAUUGCAAAUGCAUUGCACAAUUUUCAUUUAUCUUAAAAAAAAUUGAGUCUAAAAGGAUUAAAGACAAAUUUUGAAUUUUUUGUGAGAAUUUUUUUCUUUUUUUUAGAAAUUUAAUACAAUCAUACCUUAAAAAUAAAAAUAAUAAACCUAAUUUAUAAAAAUAAAGAAAAAUGAACAUUAACUAUCAAUCAAAAAAAUAAAAUAAAAUAAAACAAGAAUAAAGCUAAUAUUGAAUAAAAUAAAUGAAAUUUUAGUGUCUACAGGGAGUAAUCUUCCUAUUGACUGUGUUGCGAUUUUGGUUGGAUAAAUUGUGCAAUAAUCUGUGCUUAUUGAGUUGAUUGUUGCAUUGGAUGUAGUUACAACCUCUAGAUUACUUGCUUCAUAUAUUUGGUGAAAAUUCUGUUUCUCUUGGUGAUUGUGCAUGGUAGACACUAUGGUUAAACAAAUAUCCACUUCUAAAUCUCGAACCCUUAGACCUCAUCCCUCUACACCCCAACCUACCAUUCCUGUGAAUGAACCUACCAACCAAACUUUCUCUUCAGGUGUAUAAAAAUGCCUCGGUAGGGGUAAAGGAGUCCACGUGGCUAUACCCACACACUUUGAAGGUCAUUUAAACUUCAGUAAGGCUACCGAUAAGCAGCGAUAUGCUAUGUGUUGUUAGCGGCGAAUUAUCCCCUGCAAAAGUAAUGAGAAGCUUACCAUGGAUGUACUGCGUAUAAGGGAAGAGGUUGAACGGAUGUUUACCGCCAUUGGUUGGCGAUCUUAUCUUGAUAUUUUUUGCGCCACCUUUGUAGAACUGGUUAAAGAGUUUUACUCUACUUUUGAGUUUGACCUGCCUACAGGGUAUACUGUAGAUACCCCAAAUGUGAUUCACUUUCGACUAAUGGGUCAAGAGUUCCAUUUCUCCAUUACUCAAUUCAAUUUGGCAUUUGAAUUCAUUACUCGGGAAUAUGCUGAGACUAGGAAGUACACUGAGAGUGGUUGUGACUACAAAGAAUCAUUUUAUUCUCACUACCUCGAUAUUUGGAAGGAAAUGUCUGUUGAAAGCGACCGUUAUAACCCUUCUAGAUCCAGGAGUUCUUAUCUUAAGGAACCCAGUUCCCGAUAUAUUCAGCGCUUCUUAGCUUACAGUUACUCGGGUCGCAAGGAUAGUUCCGGUAUACUUUCGCGCCCUGAGUUCUUCUUUAUCUGGUGUAUGAAGAACAAUAUUAAGGUAAAUUUGGGGUGUUGGUUGGCAUCUCAAUUUAAGGCAGUUUUAGCCAAGAAAAACAAACCCUUGAUACUCAGGUCGUAUAUCACACGCCUGGCAAUCCAGUUAGGGGGUUCUUAAUCUCCAAAACCACAAUCUCCAUUUGGCCUUUGACAUGAAAUUUCUGGAUGACGAUUGUCUAUUAAAAAUGGGAGUUAUAAAGCGGGUUGAUGAUACCCUCUGAUUUACACUCUCGGGACUCAUUCGAACACCAGGUCACUGCCUCUCUACACGAGCAGGGUCCUCUUCAGCUCGUGGAUCUACUAAUGACACUGUCGGACCUUCCUCUUCUGUACCUCCUCCACUGCUGGCCUCCGAUUCUGAGUGGCAAUACCUGCGAGAAUAGGUUCAUCAUAUGGACAAGUGGGUAAUGAAUAUUGCUGAUCAGGUGGCCCAGAUGUCUCAGAAUUUGGCUGCCUACCUCCACCAUGUUGGCUUCACUCUGCCAUUCCCACCUAUUCCACAGUCGGUUGGGACCCUCCACUACGUAUUCGGGGAAGUUUCAUUGUCCUAUUUGCUUUAUUUGCUUUAUGACCUCCAUUGAGGACAAUGUUGGAUUUAGGUGUGGAGGAGCUGUGGUACAGCUAGUAUUUUUAGUUUUUAGAUGUUUUUCCUUUAUUUCUUGUUAUUUGUUCUAUUUUUCAUUUAUUUUCUUUUCAUUUUUAUUAGUAAUUAGCAUUUCUGUGACUGCCAAGGAUUGAUGAUGGUUGGCUGACUCUAAUUCUCCUAUUAUCAAAUUUUAGUAAUAAAAGUGUAUCAAGUUAAUUUGGUUAAAUCCAAUAUAUCUCUUUGGUGAAUAUCGAUGCUUUUGUGAUGCUUACAAUUUUUGGUUAACUUUUCUUAGCAUAGAGAAUAACUGCUUGACAUUUUACUUGCAAAUUGGUCUAAUUAUUAACCUUAGUUCUCCAUGUAUGAGGAAAUGAGGCUAGCUGCUAUUAUUUUAUGUGAUAUCUUGAGUUAUUUUGCUGCCUAGUUAUAAAUAAAUUUGGCUGUACUCUGCUAGUUAUUACUGCUAAGUAACUAGGGGUCUACACCAAAAAUGUUAAUCCUUGCGUCAAAAAAUAGUAAUUUCUAUGAGUACGUGGUCUUAUAGCGACUACAGCUGAGUAAUCGGGUUCUUUCAUCUGACAAUGUUUGAGUUCACGUCAAAAGGUUCUAAUGGUUAGAGACUAAAUCUAUUAUUAUUACUAUCUAGUCAAAAAUAUAAAAAAUGUGAAAGUUGUGUAAAUGUGUGAUUAAAGUUAGCCUGUUGAUCUAUGCGUCUAAUGUUGAGAUUUUGGUUAAUAGUUGGACCGUUUACUGAUAAAUGUUGAUCGACCAUUCCUUUUUCUUAGAAUAGUUAGCCAUAAAUUGGAGGAGCUUGCGGUUUAGAAGCUAACCGAGGUGAUGUUUCUUGGAUCUUGACCAUUGAUGCUUGAUAUGUGUUUUUCUCGGUAUCUUGGCAAUAAGAUAGAUGGAGUGAUAGCCAUUAUCAGGAAUUGAUGUUGGUUUGCUAUUCUCAUGCUUGAGGACAAGCAUGGUCUAGGUGUGCAGGGAAUUGAUAAGUCGCAAUUUUUUCAUUUAUUUUAUAAUUAAUUUCCUCCUAUUACCUUUAAUUUCCUCCUAUUACCUUACCAAAUGUGCAUUAAUUAGCAGAUUCUAUUCAUUUUUGACAUUUGUGCUUAUUGUAGGGAGUUGGAACAAAAUUUUUAUGGAAUUUUGUAUAAGGUAUUUUUGACAUUUUAGGUGACUCCAUUAAGAAUGAUCAUUCCCGUCACUUUGACACUUUAAUCCAAAUCAUGAGGGGGUUAUCUAUAGCUUUUGAAACUAUAGGGGGAUUAUGUAAAAAAAAUGCUAAACUACAAGAGGGUAAAGUGAAAUUUGCCCUUUUACAUUCGAGUAACUAAGGGCCUUUUUUAAUUUGAGAAAAAACGGCCCAUCAACCAACUUAAUUAGAGUAGCACACAAUUAGUUGUAAUUGUUGGGUUUUGAUAGAAUUCAAAAUCUCAAAAAAGUGAGCAACCCAUAAAAAAAAGGGUCCAAGCUCCAAGUCAAAAUUUAAAAACUGGACUUGACCGGUUUGGCUGAUUCAUUUGGCUUCACUCCGGUACAAUGGUUUUGACUGAUUUUUUUAACUUUUAUGGUUUCUCAUAGAAUUGGAUUGAUAUCAGGGUCAAUUCACAGUUUGAUCGAUUGAAUUGGGCAGUUCGAUUUGGUCCUUAAAACACUACAUGUGAUUUCAAAAGUUAUGCAUAAUCUUUUGCAAUUUGGACUUAAUGUCAAAAUGACAUAAAUAUCCCACUAUAAUGGAAAAUACGAAAAUAUCGAUAUUACCUUUGUUCAAAAAUCAAAAUGACUAAAGUGAUUAAAAUAUAUAAACAUAAUAUGUAUAACAUUUUAAUCACUUAUGAUUUUGUGUUUUAUCAUAUGAUCCCUAAUGGUUUAGUUUUUUAUCACAUAAUACUCUUGUGAUUUUCAAAAUAGAUAGAUAAUCUCCUUAUAGUUAACAAAUAAUUUUCAAAUUUACAUAAGGAUACUUUUGAUAUUUUAGUUGAUUCCGCUAUGAAAUGCAAAUUAUAACAUUUUGAUACUUUGGUUCAAACCAUCAGAGAAUUAUGCAUAACUUUUAAAAUCAUUGAAAAAUUAUGUGAAAAAACGCUAAAUCAUAAAGGACUAAAGUAUAAUUUAACAAGGAAAAGAAAAAUCUCUUUUCUAACGGAAUAAUUGGAUGUUCAGCGUCAGCCUUCACAUUUCCAACUUCUCCGAUGUUAUCUUUAAACUACCUUUACAUUAGAAAAACAUUUUGAGAUGUCAUAAUUGCGGAGUACUGUCGGGUUGACUGUUCCCAGUUAGUAGAAUCCGUGAGAGGAACGUAGAUAAUAGUAGAAAUUUCUUUCGAAAUUUGCCAACCGUGCUACAAAGAAACACAGUCAGUCAGUGGGACAUGCAGCAAUUACCUCAUGCUGUUAACAAAACAAAACAGAACAAAAAGAUGUACGAGCAAGUAAAUUAUCAAUUUAUUAUAAGUAAAUUAGAUAUAACCUUCCGGUGAUUUUGUCUAUUAUCACAUGAUCUUUUUAACAUUUCAAAAUUUUCAUUUCACUCCACUAUGAUUUUAUGUAAAGUAAAAAUUUGAUGAAAAGUAGCCUAUAUAACGCCGUUAAUUGAAAUACCAAUAGUGCCUUUAUAUUAAUACUAAAUCAAUCAAUGACUUAAUUGCCUUAUAUAAAGUAUAUGGGGAUUUCAUGGAGAAAUACAAAAAUUAUGGAGGGUAAAAUGGAUAUUUAUACAAAUCAUAAGGGAAUUAUAUGGAGAUUAAAAUUUUAUCACACAUUUUUAGAUUGCAUUUGAUAUAAUGCCGUAAUUAAUUGUGUAUUCCGUUCUUUUUUCACUUUAUAUAAAACCAUUGGGGGAUUAUGUAGCUAUUUUAAAACCUAAGAGGGAUCAUCUGGCAUUGUGUAAAAUCAUACGCAGUUAUAAGUAAUUUAUUCAGUUAUUAUUCAUAAAUUCGGAUUAGAAAGCACUUUACAUGAUGCUGUUGUAAACAAAGCAUAUAAUGACGGAUUAAAUGCGAAGUUGUAAUUUUGGUGUGUAUAUUAAUUUUGCGGCAUGAAGCAAAUAAAAAUCUUCACUUCUUCUAUACAUAAUAAAAUUUCAAUAAUUGCUUUGGCUGCUGGAAUCCAAGCACCAGCAAUAAUAGUCAGACCUCGAGCUCUCUAGCAAUCCUCUCACGCUCGUUCUGCCGCCAUGAUGCAAAAUUGUUGCGCUUCUACCGGUCAAAUGCAAGAGGGUAGUCCUCCAUAUAUAUCGUGAUACUGUGAUCUCAUUCUCAUCUAAAGCCACAUUGUCGCAACACAGCCUUCAUAGGGAUCUUGCGGGCCCAUUUGAACGUCAUGGCUGCCACCUAAAAAAAAAAAAUAUUCACUAGGAGAGUCCCAAAAAAUGAUGAUGUCCUUCUUGAUGUAAUGUACUACUAAUAGCCAAAGUUAAUUAAGUUACUUACCAAGGUAUGCUUUUGUCAGAUACUUGAGCGACUUGCUAAGGUUUCUUGUUUUCAUAAGUGGUGGAUAUUUGGCCGUGUCCCUGCCAAAAAAUUUCAUAGGUGUCAAAUUCUUUCUCUGCACUUGUUUCAACGACAUUGCAUCCCUCAGAAAUUCUGGUUGUAUUCCAGUUGCUUCAUACCUGCAGAAGAAUUUUUCACACUUCAAAGUCAGCCUCUAGAGUGCAAUUCACUUUCUAUGUGCCUAUAUAUGUAGGAUGUGAAUUUGGACAAUCUUUUUGUUGCGUCAUUACCUAUCGUUUGUGACGGGAAGUUGUGGUUUGACAUAUGUAUGAAGGAUUUUCCUUUCAUACUCAUCGAUGGGGCAAAACUCUUGCACACAGAUCUAAAGAACCAUCACUGCCACCUCCAACCAUUUUGCUGACAGGUGUCGAACCUGUGCAAUAAUAAUUACUAAAAGUCCUAAUUAUCACCACAAUUAAUUAUAGAGCAAAUCCAAGUACUGGAGCAGGGACCCUAGGUAUGCAAUGGGUUACUUGAUUCACCCUGUUCCCGAAGAGUUUGCUUGAUUCGAGAUACCAGAUUCGUCUAUAAAAAUAUUAAUUUUGCGUACAAUGGCAAGUAGGGUCGAUUCCACAGGAAACGGGUAGGAAGUUAUUUCUUUCCAAGUCAAUAGAAUAAAAUUGGGGGAUAAUGGGAUGGAAAUGAAAAUAAAAUAAAUAAAAUUCAACUGAUAAUUCCACAAGUACAAUUUACUAAAAAUAGCAGUUAAUAAAAUUCUACUUAAAGGAUCAACUUCUCAGGCAUGGGCCAGUUAAAUGAUCAUUGAUGCAAAGAUAUUUCAUUCGUUCGUUACUAGGUUGGUUAUAGUCAUCAACAAGCUCUGACAACCAGUUCUUCCUUACUUUUUCGACAGUCAAGGUACGACCAUUGACUGCUUUCCUAAUCAGAAAACAACCCUAGGUACGACCGUAGGAAUUUAAUUAUCCAGUUGCAUUAAAGCUAGAAGAACCCAACCCCAACCAAUAAACACGCUAAGAGGGUUUAUUUAGAUCAGGUCUUACAUUUCCCCAACAUAAAGCCAAUUAUGGUGGUUGCCACGAGUUGUCAACUAAACGAACAAUUAUGGAUUCAAUUUAAUUAACGUGGCAGUAGGCUAUUAUAUUAAAUCAAAUACCCGGCCGUUGAUAUUCAAUUAAUAAAAUACCCAUGAAUAAUUAAUUCAGGAAAUGCACGAAUAGCAACAAAUUGGAAGAAAUAAUGAAAAUUCAAUUAGAUCUCACAGAUAUUAUGGACCGUGCAUUCGCGUCGACCUUUGGAUAGAGGAGAAAACUAGCCGCUCCUCAUCAUAUGAACUUUGCGUGAUUCGAUUGAUAUCAUCCAUACAAUUGUCCAAGAAUUAAUUGCCAAGGAAUUGGGAAAAUAAUGAGGAGGUAGACGAGAAAGUGUUAUCUCUCCUUUAGAAUUGUCUCAAGCAAAAGAAACGAAUUCCAGAGUCAAAGUCGCCUAAAGCAAAAAGCUAGAGAAAAGAAGAAAAGCUCCAACGUCUGACCAAGAGCCGAAAAAAAGGAAACUGAAGCUAAUGUCCCUAUUAGACGUGAAUCUGGCCUAUUGUAAUUGUUUUUCUAUUUGAAGCCGCCGCCAGUGGAAGUCAGAUCAGGAGCAAGCUUUUUCUAAGGGCUCCAAUCCCACGCAUCUGGUCCACGUGGACCUGGUUCCUUAAUUGGGUCUCCUCCUGUUACUAAGCCUGCGGGUCCGGUUUUUGGGUAAUCCUUUACAAUUUCUGGCGUGGACACGUUCUGAAAUAAAGGGUCUUCUGGAAAUUUAUCUCAAAAGAUUACUUUCAACACCAACCACCUAUAAUUUACAUAAAUAUCAAAUAUGAGCAAAUUCUCAAUGCUUAGCACAAUGAGUAGCCAAAAUUAGGACAGAAUAAUAGUGUAAAAUGUGCUCAAUAACCACUUUAUCAUUUGCAAGCCAGGGCGACCAGCCUUGCUCUACUGUUGUCAAGCCUGAAUUCAUCUUGUACGCCCAAAUUAGCCAGACUGUUAGGAAAUUGACUUAAUUUCUUUUAAGCAAAUUUAUUAAUUUGUGCGAAAGUAACUAGUUUCGUACUUGGUUUUAGUUACUUGAAGUGGUAGUAAAAAAAUUUCCUAUUUUGUUUAGGAUUUAGAGGUUAUUUCCUAUUCUAUACAAGUUUAGAAAUUAGCAUUGUUUCCUAUUGUUAUUUGGGUUUUGACUAGAUAAUGUUCAGUAUAAAUAGGUGGGUUAGCAUACUACAAAGAGACACACAAAAGCACACAAGGGUGACAUGUAGCCUUAUACAUGGGGGUGAGAGAGGGUCCUUGGAAGAUAAGAGAUGGUAUUUAAGGGUUGGAUUUGGUUUCAAGUUGUAUUCUUAUAUAGGAUUUUUUCUCUCAUAAUAAAGAACAAAAUUUUCUCCGUGGACGUAGGUUUAAUGGUAGAGUCGAAUCACGUCAAAUAUUAUGUGUCAUUUAUCUUUUAUACUUGUGGAUUGUUUCUCAUUAAAUUAUUGUAUACUUGAUAUUUCAAUAGUCAUGUGUUCCGCGCUUCGAUUCUAACACAGACGGAAUAGAACCCCCUAAAAAAAACGGUCCAAUAUGUUUUACUACUGUUGUGUAAUGGAAAUGUGAAUAUAUAACUGUUGAGUUUAAUUGUUGAUCUAUACAUUGUUUGAACGUGAGAAUUGGCAUGUUUCCCUGUGAUUCCAGAGUGCACUGCGACUGCUCAGGACUGCGACGCAAAGGUCACAUUCCCGGCCCUUGAAAAUCCUCUCACACUCUACUUUCGGGUGCGGCCCUGAUUUUGCAAUUCAAGUCGAGCUAAACAUUAUUGUAAAAGCGCGACUUAUUUAUCCUUUCAGUUAUUAAACUACAACAAACUCUAAACUUAAUCUAUCUGGAUUACGUGUAGUAGCUUGUCCUACACAAGAAUUUGCCAAUAUAAUUGACGAGACAAAAGAUUAAUUAUAUUAUCAUAUGGUCAUGAAAUCGACCACAAUUAUAUUCUAACACAGUUUGCAGGCUCAUUUUUAGAUGCAAAUCCAAUUUCCAUCAUCUAAGCUUUGUUGACAUUUUUAACUCUCAAGUAAGCUGCACGUCAUUUUUCUCUCAACAUCCUAUUGAAGACGAUCUUGAAGCCAUCCUCUCUGUGCUAGUCUGUAGCAAAACUAACAAAGAAAAUAAAAAGGCUAUGUCAAGAAAAGGAAAAGGCUGAAGUUGAUAGAAUAGGUUAUCAAAAAUUUCUCAAGAUGCAUUCUGUAAAUGUCACAACAUUUGCAAGAUAUAGAGAAUAAACCUGUAUAUUGUUAAUGGAACUCAAAAUUCAGAGUUAUUGCAACUGGUAACAAUGAAAAGAGAAGGGAAAAAAGCUCAUUAGCCGACAAAUUAGUUUUAAUAGAAACAGGUAGAUGGGACAAAAACUUGUAGUGAUCAUAAUUAUUUCUCCAAUGUCUAAGCAAUUCAUUUGGAGAUCAAACCUGAAUUUUAUAGACAGAAGCCAAAAUUCAGAUUUGUAGGGAAUCUGGGCUAUGGUAAAGGGUGUUAAUGUAGAUGGGAGGAAAAAAAAGCCUAAUUUCAGAUUUAUAGGGAAUCUGGGCAAUAGUAUGGAAUGUUAAUGCAGAUGAAAGAUAAAACCAAAAAAAAAAAAAAAACAACUGCAUAAGGGAAGGUAAAAGGCUCAUUAUAAAAUAUACCACUGCGCCUAGGCCAAGUUGAAGUGAGCAUUAGGGUAAGUUUCACAUAACCCAUAUGCUUUUGCACAAUACUAGGUGACUCUAUUAAAGAUUAACAAUGGACAAAACAGGACACUGCAAUUGACCAAUACUCGCUCUAAAAUUGUGUGUGAUGAAAUUAUAAUAUAUUCACAUAAUCUUUGAUUUUGCACAAAUAUCGACUUAACCUUCAUAUAAUUUUGUAUUUACCAACAUAAUUCCCCCUUCUAAUUUUAUUCAAUGUCGUUAGACCCUUAAUAAUUAAGUUAGGUCAAUAUUUGCAUUUCAACUAAUGGCAUUAUAGAUAUUAUUUUUUUCAUUAAAUUUUUGCUUUACAUAAAAUCACAUUAUAUGGAUAUUUUGAAAUUUUAGGAAAUUAAUGUGGUGUCAUGGAAAAACACAUGGGUUUAUGAGUAAUUUAGCUUAAGAAUUAUUGUAAAAUCAUGAUUUAAUCAUAUCACAUAAAAUCACAUUGUAUGGAUAUUUUGAAACCUUAGGAAAUUAAUGUGGUGUCACGCAAAAGCACAUGGAUUUAUGAGUAAUUUACCUUAAGAAUUAUUUUAAAAAGCACGAUUUAAUCAUAUCAUAUCAGUUGAUAACUUUAAGAUAUUUUGUACUUAUCUAUCUUUAUUAAGGCUCUACCGUGAUUUAUGAGUAAUUUACCUUAAGAAUUAUUUUUAAAAGCACGAUUUAAUCAUAUCAUAUCAGUUGAUAACUUUAAGAAAUUUUGUACGUAUCUAUCUUUAUUAAGGCUCUACCGUGCACUAAGUUAAAAGUUCGACCAUUGCUGGUGUAUAAGAAGUGAAGCACCUAGAGCUGUUAAGUCAAUCGAGUAGCUCGAAAGCUUGUUAGAGCUCGACUCGUUAAGGCUCGAGCUCGGGUCGUUAAUUUUGGUUAACGAGUCGAGCUCGAGCUCGAGCUCGAAACAUGCUCGUUUAGUUAACGAGCCAAGUAAGCUCGGCUCGUUUGAUACUCGAGUAGCUCGUUAGAGCUCGUUAAUGAAGGGCAUAUUUGUCAUUUUAGAAAUCAAAAUUAUAAAAAUUAAAAAUUAUAGGUUUUUAAUAAGGUUAAUUUGCACGAGCUCGAGCUCGAGCUCGUGAAGCUCGAGCUCGUUUGUGAUAAAUGAGUCGAGCUCGAGCCACAUGUACAUUUAACGAGCCGAGUUUGAACACAUUUUAAAACUCGUUUUCCUAAUGAGCUCGAGUCGAGCUCGACUCGAAUUAAACUCAAGUCGAGCUCGGCAGCCAAAUACUCGACUCGACUCGACUCGAUUAACAGCUCUAGAAGCACCGUUCUUCCCUUCGACAAAAAGUUCAAAGGAUGCAGUAGUGCACUUAAUUGGUUUAGAGAUAGGUUCUCUCCCUCUAACCCGCAGAUAUUGCCUGGUUGGAAUCCGCCCUUCCCAAGUAGCGUAGGAUUAAGAUGAAAUUCUAAUGACUGGAAAAAAAAAUCUGUCUGUAUUAGGUGUAGUAACUUGUACUACAUAAUAUUCUGUCAAUAUAAUUGCUGAGUAAAACAAUACAUUAUUCAUAAUAGGUUAUCGUAUUCCACCAUAAUAAUAUUCUAAUACAAUUUGCGUGCUCAUUUUCAAUCACCUAAACAUUUUUGUCUUUUUCAACAAAUCCCUUCAAGGGAUUGGUUCUGCGGUUGACAUUAAGGGGCACUUGGUUCUUACUUUGGAAUUGGAAAGGGAAAUAGAAUAAUGGAUAGAGGGCCUACUAAUGAGGGUUUUAGUCAAUUUCUCCCAAUUUGGUUAGGAAUCAUGAAUGGCCAAAUUUUAAAGCAUGAUUUCAAUAUUUUAAUUUCCAUUGUAUUGGACCAAGUGCGCAGUAUUGGAAUUAUUGUAUUUCCAAGUACCAAAACGCCUAAACCAAGUGGCCCCUAACUUUUCUGGCAAUGUUGUAUUGAAGAUACGGUUUCCAUUAAUUGAAGCAAUCGACUUUGUAUUUGUUAAACAAGAACUUACGCGAAUGUCAAAUUAUUCAGCCUUCUCGGAUAUUAUACCAAAUCUUUUUAGUAUUAGUUUAAUUAUUCAGGAAACUACUUGUUUUAUUAUUAUUCAAUUGUGGUUUCAGAUUUUUUUUUUUUUUAUCGACACAGGGGUGUCCGGAUAAAUUCUUAUGGGGUCCGACUAAUCCCCUGCGGCCCGGACCCGGCGUCCAACCUGACCCGAACGCGAUAAGUGCGCGGAGGAACCCAGCGGAGGGUUUCGGAUUGUUAGUAUGAUUUGAUAGUUUAAUUCUAACUUCAAAUUAGAUUUGGUCAGUGAAUGGUCUUAUAUAAAGACCUUUUCUGGCUUAUUAAUGUAUCAUUCCUAUCAAUAAAGUCACCUCCCAGUUUCGUUUCGUUUCGUUUAGUCGUCUGUCUUUUCUUCGUUUGUCCACAGCAACGUUGCGAUUUAGCUCUGAUUCAUAACUUGGGUUGUUUUAACAUAUUACGUGAGGGCCUACAGGCCAUGGCAACCAGUACUCCAGUUAACAUCCCCUCUAAAAUGAAGGCCUGGGUCUAUGGCCAAUAUGGGACACCCGAAGAUGUCCUUAAAUUGGAAUCCGAGGUUGAUGUUCCUGACGUAAAUGAUGACCAGGUUUUGAUCAAAGUAGUUGCUACAUCACUGAAUCCAAUCGACUUCAAACACAUGCAUGGUUAUUUCAAGGCCAUUGAUUCUCCUCCCCCAGUAAAUACCUUUUUUCAUUUUUUUUUCAGCGAAAAUUUGUUGUUUGUUUUAUUUACUAGGUAGUCCUUGUGUAGAUUUACUGUUCUUUUUUCUUUUUCUUAAUCUGGUAGACUGUUGCUGGAUAUGAUGUUGCCGCCGUGGUAGUUAGAGUUGGCAGCAAAUUAAAGUGAAGGAAUUCGAGUUCGUGGAUGAAGUAUACGGAGACAUUCACGAGCAUGCUUUGUACCCAAAGGGAUGUGGGUCACCGGCGGAGUACACUGCAGUGGAGGAGAAGGUACUAGCUUUGAAGCCAAAGAAUUUGAGUUUUGCAGAGGCAGCAAGCCUUCCUGUUGCUGUUGAAACAGCGUAUGGGUGCCUUGAAAGCGCUGGGCUUUCAGCUGGUAAAUCACUUCUUGUUCUGGGUGGUGCCGGUGGAGUUGGAUCUUUUAUCAUUUAGGUACUACAUGUGUUUAUUUUUACCCUUAAUUUCCAAUACUUUGAAACACCCUAGAAAAAUCAGAUGUAGUUGAUCAUUUCCAAAGAAUUAGUGAUAAUUAUUGAGGAUCAAUAAACAACUACUGGUAGCCGAACAUGUGACUAUUACGCUCUUUUAGUUGCAAUUUGGAUAAAAACUAUCAAAAAUACUAAAUGUGCUCAAAAGUUGAAAAUUUGGAUAUCAAAUUUGCUUUUGUCAAAAGUUUGAGAACUAAAACCGCUCAUAUAUCAAAAUUUAAAUACCAAAACUACAUUUUUGUCAACCAAAAAAUAAAUAUGCGGAGGGUAACUACUAUGUCUUAAUCAUGUCUGUCACCUUUGCCAUCAUAGUGGAAGAACGGGUGAGAAGCUAGGUGAUUGUCUUGGACUUCUUGACUACCAUUUUCGCUACCAGAGUCAGAAUUGCUCUAGCAGAGAAAGAAGUCAAGUAUGAAUCCACGGAAGAAGAUCUAAUGAAUUUACAGAAAAGUCCGUUGUUGUUAAAGAUGAAUCCCAUAUACAAGAAAAUUCCAGUUUUGAUCCACAAUGGAAGACCUUUUUGUGAGUCCCUACUUAUAGUUUAGUAUAUUGACGAGGUAUAAAAGGGCAAAGCUUCCCUCUUGCCCUCUCAUCCUUAUGACAGAGCUCAAGCUAGGUUCUGGGCUGAUUUCAUUGACAAAAAGGUAACAAAUUAUGAUUUUUUGUUUGCAGGAAUACGUGUAUGUAAGUUCAUGAUUUCAUGAGUGUCAUGUUACCUAUUGCAGCUAGACGGUUUUGCUCGUAAAAUAUGGUCGACAAAAGGAGAAGAGCAGUAGGCAGCAAAGAUUGGCUUCAUAAAUUGCCUAAAGCCGCUGGAGGAAGGAGCAUUAGGAGACAAGCCUUAUUUUGGAGGUGACAAUUUUGGAUCUCUUGAUGUGGCUCUUCUUGGAAACUAUAACUGGUUCUAUACCUAUGAAAAAUUUGGUAAAUUCAGUACAGAAGCCGAUUGCAGAGGUGUAUGGAAAGGGACAGUGUUUCCAAGUCUCUUGCUGACCCCAUAAAGGUCUAUGAAUCUGUGUUGCUGUGGCAAAAGCUUCGUGGACAGGAGUAACAUGGAGAAGCUAGCUUAAUUACGUUGUUAUGGGGAUUUAUGUCGGACUAUUUUAAUUUCAUGAUCCAUUUGAAACUAGAGUAGAUAGAUAGAUAGAUAGAUUUGAAGGAUAAUACCUCGUUAAGUGUGAUUAUUUGGAGAAUUUUGUGUAUUUACAGUUUGCAUUACAAGUGGAUUAGGAUGUAAUAACCCUUGUGCCACAAUAAUCAAUGCUUUCGUGUUCCAAGUAGUUUUAAUUCAAUUGUAGCUCGUAGAUCAGACAAACUUUGAUGUUCAUACUAGCUUCAAAUCUAGAUCUCAAAGAAAAGCUCAGAUGGUUAACAGGUCAACUGAUGCAUAAAAUAGGCAUAAUGAAAGAUUGUUUCAGGUCAGAAACUCGUUGCCAUACCAGCAAAACCAAGUUUUAGCUUCAAUUAUUUCUUCAUAGCUCUUCUUGAAUGCAAAUGGCCCUAGUAGCAGACAGCUUGUUUACUACUGAUCCUGAUGACAAAGUUAAGAAGUAACCUAACCUGUGAUCUGAUGAAAUCAAGGGAAUUUAGGCAAUAAAAAUCAAACAUGUAAAUAAUAAAAAAGAUUUGCAAUCCAGUGAGUGCUCUAAAGUCAUAAACCUUUUCAGGAUCAGCAAGGGACUUGGACACGCUCUCCCUCUGCAUGCACCUUUUAGCCCAAGCCGCAAACUUUGGGCAUUGUGCCCCAAUUUUGAAGUUUCCACAAGUCUCAUAGGCAUGGAACCAACUGUAGAAAGGAAUCAAAGCCACAUCUACAUAUCCAAACUCUUCACCACCAAAGUAAGGCUUAUCUCCAAGUUCCCCUUCUAGUACCUUGAGAGCCUCUAUGAAUUCCUUCUUGGCUGCCUCCAGUUCUUCCCCUUUAGCGGCCCAUUGUAACUUUUAGUUAUAUUCCAUUUCACACCUAACAUUAGUUAGUCAAAAAAUUUUUCUUUUAAUUCAUGCAGAAUCUAACUCCAAAAAGAAGACUUUCUCCGGAAAAAAAAAGAAAAAUAUAAAAUUCACACAGAAAUCUUGCAGGGUACCUUCUUGUCAAUAAAGUCAGCCCAGAACCUUGCUUGAGCCCUCUCAUAAGGAUCAGAUGGUUCCAAUGGAUUCUUGUCAUGCCAUACCUCAUCUAUGUACUGGACAAUUAAGGGACUCAAGUAUUGGCUUUCCAUUAUGAAGCAAAACUGGAACUUUCUUGUGAACAGAAUUCAUCUCAAGAAGAAGCAGGCUCUUGUUCGUCAAGUCCUCUUCCUUGAGUUCAUACUUGACACCCUUCUCAGCUAGUGCUAUUCUGACCCUCAUACUGAACAUGCUCGCAUAGACACUCAACAAAAUCACCUCUUCACCAGCCAUUUUCUCAGAGGAUGGUACGAAGCAGGAGCAGGAGUUUUCUCUGGUUUGCUAGUUUUUUUUUAAAGAAAAUUGAUGGUUGACCACAAAAGAAGUGUGUACAGAUUCCUCUUUUUUUUUAAUAGUAGUACAUUUAGUCGUCAUGGAUUUUAUUAUUUAAGUUGAACGAGUACCAUGAAAUGGUACCGGAUCAUUCCUGGAACCUUCGAGCUCCACGCCCCAAGUCAGUGAGCUGUUUUUAUGAGUUGGUCUAGAGAUUUACAGAAUUUGUAAAUGAAGUGCACAUAUUUCACAAGUCAAUAACUAAGGAAUAAAAGGAAGGGAGAUAGUUGAAAAAAAAAAUUAUCUAAGGAGAUGAUAUGAAAUAUAUGGGAAAAGAAAGUAGUAUCACAUUAACAUCAUUUGGACAUUGUACGAACACUCUGCUUAACUAAAGACAGAGACAAUUGUCCUAUAAAUUUGUGGAAGAAAUUAUACAUAUAAACAGCCUAUCCAUGAAAUCCUAGUAGUAGUAGUAACAUCAUUUACUACCAGUCCAGGAUAUCAAGAAGACGACGCUAAAUCUCUUUUAUUCUCCCAAGCCAAGCAAACAAAACUAAAGGAUUCUAAGACAGAUCUACGAAGCCCACAAAAAGCAAAGCAAUCCCAAAUACAUAUUCAUGCGUAGACUUUAUUCGAUCCUCCAUGUAGGCAAAAAGUUGAAAGAGACUUUAUUCGAUCCCAAGCUUCUUCUUCAAGGACACAACAAAUUCGUAAAUCUUGUGAGGAUCAGCAAGGGACUUGGAAACGCUCUCCCUCUGCAUGCAUCUUUUGGCCCAUUCCACCAGCUUUGGACACUCCGUUUCUGUCUUGAAAUUCCCAAAGUUCUCAUAGGCAUGGAACCAACAGUAGAAAGGAAUCAAAGCCACAUCCACAUAUCCAAAGUCUUCCCCUCCAAAGUAAGGCUUAUUUCCAAGUUCUCCUUCCAAUGUUUUCAUAAUCCCUAUGAAUUCCUUCUUGGCUGCCUCCUUUUCUUCUCCCUUUGUGGCCCAGAUCCUCCUUCCACAAUCAUAAACCUGCAUUUCACCUUAAUUUUCUCAGAAAAAAAUUGAACAGAAAAAUCCCUCCUUAACAUAAUAUUUUUAUCCCAUAUCUAACUUGUCCUGCUUGCUUAUGUUGUUUGCCUAAAAUAAUCUAGUGAAAAUAGGUUAAGAAAUGCUUAGUUCCACGACUAGACGAUCUUGGUAAAGACAGUAGAAAUGCUUGCCCGAAUAACUGAUUGAACAGCAGUUGACAAAAUUAGAGUUUCCAUAAGAAAAAAAUGUUACCUUUUUGUCAACGAAGUCAGCCCAGAACCUAGCUUGAGCUCUCUGGUAAGGAUCAGAUGGCAGCAAGGGAUUCUUGUCAUGCCACACUUCAUCUAUGUACUGAACAAUGAUAAGGGACUCGCAAACAGGCUUUCCAUUAUGAAUCAGAACUGGGAUUUUCUUGUGAACAGGGUUCACCUCAAGAAGAAGUGGGCUCUUGUUAGCCAAGUCUUCUUCUUUGUUUUCAUACUCGAUGCCUUUUUCGGCCAGAGCAACUUGGACUCUCAUGCUAAACAUGCUCCCAUAUGUACCCAACACAACCACCUUGUCACCGGCCAUAUUUUCAGAUGAUAUUCGAGCAAAGCAAAAAAAAAGAAAGGAUUUUUUCGCUAGAGGUGAUGAAAAGAAAGCUGAAUUAUGGGCAAUAGUAGCAGUUUGUUAGCAACUAGCAGGUAUAAGAACCGGGGUCUUGCAUUUUAUAGUGAAUGAGAGGCUGGUGAUGGCAGCAUGAAGGAAUAAUGGUUGGUAAGUGGUAGAUUGUACCAGGACACUUGGGUCCUCUGCCCUUCAGCAAUUUAGGCCACAAGUCAAAAUGCAGGUUUUUUUUUUCAAGCAGUAGGGAUAGGAUUCAAAGGUAAGGGAAGGAAGAUUAGAACCAGAAUUUUUAAAUCUUGAGAAAAUGAAGGGUCUCUUUUUCAUGUGUUAUUAAUUAGAUCUUUUUU